GAGUUUGAUCCUGGCUCAGAUUGAACGCUGGCGGCAUGCCUUACACAUGCAAGUCGAACGGCAGCACGGAGCUUGCUCUGGUGGCGAGUGGCGAACGGGUGAGUAAUAUAUCGGAACGUACCCUAGAGUGGGGGAUAACGUAGCGAAAGUUACGCUAAUACCGCAUACGAUCUAAGGAUGAAAGUGGGGGAUCGCAAGACCUCAUGCUCGUGGAGCGGCCGAUAUCUGAUUAGCUAGUUGGUAGGGUAAAAGCCUACCAAGGCAUCGAUCAGUAGCUGGUCUGAGAGGACGACCAGCCACACUGGAACUGAGACACGGUCCAGACUCCUACGGGAGGCAGCAGUGGGGAAUUUUGAACAAUGGGGGAAAGCCUGAUCCAGCAAUGCCGCGUGAGUGAAGAAGGCCUUCGGGUUGUAAAGCUCUUUUGUCAGGGAAGAAACGGUGAAAGCUAAUAUCUUUUGCUAAUGACGGUACCUGAAGAAUAAGCACCGGCUAACUACGUGCCAGCAGCCGCGGUAAUACGUAGGGUGCAAGCGUUAAUCGGAAUUACUGGGCGUAAAGCGUGCGCAGGCGGUUUUGUAAGUCUGAUGUGAAAUCCCCGGGCUCAACCUGGGAAUUGCAUUGGAGACUGCAAGGCUAGAAUCUGGCAGAGGGGGGUAGAAUUCCACGUGUAGCAGUGAAAUGCGUAGAUAUGUGGAGGAACACCGAUGGCGAAGGCAGCCCCCUGGGUCAAGAUUGACGCUCAUGCACGAAAGCGUGGGGAGCAAACAGGAUUAGAUACCCUGGUAGUCCACGCCCUAAACGAUGUCUACUAGUUGUCGGGUCUUAAUUGACUUGGUAACGCAGCUAACGCGUGAAGUAGACCGCCUGGGGAGUACGGUCGCAAGAUUA
rnacentral:rRNA from 1 species